GGGGCCGUCGUCUAGCUUGGUAGGAUGCCAGCCUGGGGACGCACCCCGCCGCCCCCAGGGCGGGCGCCAGAGCGCUGGUGGUCCCGGGUUCAAAUCCCGGCGGCCCCACCA
rnacentral:tRNA from 1 species